AGAGUUUGAUCCUGGCUCAGAAUGAACGCUAGUGAUUUGUUUUAAGACAUGCAAGUUGAAUGAACUAAAUUUAUUUUGGCUCAUAGCGAACGGGUGAGUAAUAUAUAGGAAUUUACCCGACUGUUCAGGUGGAAUCCCGGAUAUUUAUGAAAGAUUUUAUCGUGGUCGGAUAAGCUUAUAUAGGAUUAGGUAGUUGAURAGUUAAUUUCUUAUCAAGCCUAUGAUCCUUAGCUGGUUUUAGCGAAUGAUCAGCCACAUUGGGACUGAGAUAAGGCCCAAACCCAAUUUAGGGGCAGCAGUCGAGAAUCUUAGGCAAUGGGCGAAAGCCUGACCUAGCAAAAUCACGUGUGUGAAGAAGGUUAUCUUAUCGUAAAGCACUUUUAUUAGGGAUAAUAAUGAUAGUACCUAAGGAAAAAGUCCUGGCUAAUCUCGUGCCAGCAGCCGCGGUAAUACGAGAAGGGCAAGCGUUAUUCGGAAUUACUGGGCGUAAAGGGUGCGUAGAUGGUUUAUAGUAGUUAUGCACAAAAUUUUAGGGCCCAACUCUGAAUGGUGGUAUAAUACAGAUAGACUUGAGUUUAAGGAAAGAUUAUGGAAUUUUGGGAGUAGCGGUAAAAUGUGUAAAUACCCAAAGGAACACCAACGGCGAAGGCAAUAAUCUUUCUUAAUACUGACGUUAAGGCACGAAAGCACAGGUAGCAAAGGGGAUUAGAGACCCCUGUAGUCUGUGCCCUCAACGAUGGGUGCUCGCUUUUGGUCCAAUAGAUUAGAAGCUUAGCUAACGCGUUAAGCACCCCGCCUGGGGAUUAUGAUCGCAAGAUUGAAACUCAAAGGAAUUGGCGGGAACUUGAACAAGCGGUGGAGCAUGUGGUUUAAUUCGAUAUUACGCGCAGAAUCUUACCAACUCUUGUUAUUUUAGUAACUUUUUACUAAAACAGGUGCUGCAUGGCUGUCGUCAGUCCGUGCUGUGAAGUGUUUGGUUAACUCCUUUAAACGGGCGUAACUCUUUUAACUUAUUUUUUUUCUAAGUUAAACUACCGAGGAUAACUUGGGGGAAGGAAAGAAUGACGUCAAGUCCUCAUGGCCCUUAUGGGUUGGGCUACACACGUGCUACAAUGGCUUAUACAAAAUGUGGCAAUGAUGUAAAUCGGAGCAAAUCAUAAAAGUAAGCCUUAGUUCGGAUUGUUCUAUGGAACUCUAGAACAUGAAGUUGGAAUCGCAAGUAAUCGUAAAUCAGAACGUUACGGUGAACUAUAUAUUCAAGUUUUGUACACACUGCCCGUCACGCUAUGGAACGUGGUUGUAUCGGAAGCUAUUUUAGGUAAUGUUAUACUACUGUUUAUUAUUUUAUUGAUAUUAUAAAAGCAGUAAGUGGCUUAUUGCUAAAAUAUUUAUGGUAAAGCUACGGACUGGAGUGAAGUCGUAACAAGGUAGCCGUAGGGGAACCUGCGGCUGGAACAAAUAUUAGCAUUUAGACUUUACUUUGCUCUUUCCGCAUCUUUUUUCUUAAUAA
rnacentral:rRNA from 1 species